rnacentral:tRNA from 1 species
GAGCAGGGAAGUGUUCGAAGGGGUUUUGAAGUCCUCUUUUUCAUCUGGUUGGUGAUGCUCGCUUG